CUUCCGCCGGACCUGACUGCUAUCGGAUUGAUACUAAGCCAUGCGAGUCAUUGUAGCAAUACAAGGCAUACGGCUCAGUAACGCGUAGUCAACCUAACCUAUGGACGGGAAUAACCUCGGGAAACUGAGAAUAAUGCCCGAUAGAACAUUAUGCCUGGAAUGGUUUAUGUUCCAAAUGAUUUAUCGCCGUAGGAUGGGACUGCGGCCUAUCAGUUUGUUGGUGAGGUAAUGGCCCACCAAGACUAUUACAGGUACGGGCUCUGAGAGGAGUAGCCCGGAGAUGGGUACUGAGACACGGACCCAGGCCCUAUGGGGCGCAGCAGGCGAGAAAACUUUGCAAUGUGCGAAAGCACGACAAGGUUAAUCCGAGUGGUUUCUGCUAAAGAAACCUUUUGUCAGUCCUAGAAACACUGAUGAAUAAGGGGUGGGCAAGUUCUGGUGU
rnacentral:rRNA from 1 species